rnacentral:rRNA from 1 species
UACGAAGGGAGCUAGCGUUGUUCGGAAUUACUGGGCGUAAAGCGCGCGUAGGCGGACUGAUCAGUCAGGGGUGAAAUCCCGGGGCUCAACCCCGGAACUGCCUUUGAUACUGUCAGUCUAGAGUCCGGAAGAGGUGAAUGGAACUCCUAGUGUAGAGGUGAAAUUCGUAGAUAUUAGUGAAGAACACCAGUGGCGAAGGCGAUUCACUGGUCCGGUACUGACGCUGAGGUGCGAAAGCGUGGGGAGCAAA